UACGUAGGCAGCAAGCGUUGUUCGGAGUUACUGGGCGUAAAGGGUGCGUAGGCGGCUCUGUAAGUAUGGUGUGAAAUCUCCCGGCUUAACUGGGAGGGUGCGCUAUAGACUGCGGGGCUCGAGUGUGGGAGAGGAAAGUGGAAUUCCUGGUGUAGCGGUGAAAUGCGUAGAUAUCAGGAGGAACACCGGUGGUGUAAACGGCUUUCUGGACCAUAACUGACGCUGGAGGCACGAAAAGCGUGGGUAGCAAACAGG
rnacentral:rRNA from 1 species